rnacentral:rRNA from 1 species
UACGGGGGGAGCAAGCGUUGUUCGGAUUUACUGGGCGUAAAGGGCGCGUAGGCGGCCACCGCAAGUCAGUUGUGAAAUCUCUGGGCUUAACCCAGAAAGGUCAACUGAUACUGCGGGGCUAGAGUGCAGAAGGGGCAACUGGAAUUCUCGGUGCAGCGGUGAAAUGCGUAGAUAUCGAGAGGAACACCUGCGGCGAAGGCGGGUUGCUGGGCUGACACUGACGCUGAUGCGCGAAAGCUAGGGGAGCGAACGGG